UCUCUCUCUCUCUUAUUUUUUCAAAAAGCUUCAACAUUUGUUUAUACGAAUCUUAAAGUGAUGCCGCUCGAUUUUCAACUUCUUUUACAAAUAGCUAGGGCAAUUGAAUCGUGUAAAAUCAAAGUUUCGGAUUGUCCAUCUAUGGGGUCAUGGAGAUUUCCAAAAAGGAUAAACUAGGAGAAUGUACCGGAAUUGAUAUGCUUUUUUGUGGAUGAUAAGGUAAUUUUUUUGAUGAUUUUUUUAUGUUGUGCGAUCAAUUGUUUAUAUCACCUAUUUAUAUUGAAUUUUUGAAUUGCCUUUUACGAAUGAAGAACCAAAGGUCCUCUCCAUUGCGUUAAAAUGUUGAUCUUUUCCAACCUAGAAUUUUUAAUCUUUUAAUAAUCAUUCAAUUUCCUUGAACCAUUUAUUUAAAUUGUCUUUCAUUUUCAAUCGAGUAAAUGUCUUUAUGUUUCAUUAUGAAACAGGGAAGUAUGAUAUAAGCUUUCUAUCAAAGAGAAUUUACUGUCAAAAUUCCAGAAGCAAUGACAAGAAUGGGAGUGCUCCUAAUGAAUUUUGA
rnacentral:lncRNA from 1 species